rnacentral:rRNA from 1 species
AUUGAACGCUGGCGGCAUGCUUUACACAUGCAAGUCGAACGGUAACAGGCCGCAAGGUGCUGACGAGUGGCGAACGGGUGAGUAAUGCAUCGGAACGUGCCCAGUCGUGGGGGAUAACGCAGCGAAAGCUGCGCUAAUACCGCAUACGAUCUAUGGAUGAAAGCGGGGGACCGUAAGGCCUCGCGCGAUCGGAGCGGCCGAUGUCAGAUUAGGUAGUUGGUGGGGUAAAGGCGCACCAAGCCAACGAUCGGUAGCUGGUCUGAGAGGACGAACAGCCACACUGGGACUGAGACACGGCCCAGACUCCUACGGGAGGCAGAGGUGGGGAAUUGUGGACAAUGGGCGCAAGCCUGAUCCAGCAAUGCCGCGUGCAGGAAGAAGGCCUUCGGGUUGUAAACUGCUUUUGUACGGAACGAAACGGCCCUGGUUAAUACCCGGGGCUAAUGACGGUACCGUAAGAAUAAGCACCGGCUAACUACGUGCCAGCAGCCGCCGUAAGAC